rnacentral:rRNA from 1 species
AUGAACGCUGGCGGCGUGCCUAAUCCCUGCAAGUCGCGCGAACAGACGAGGAGCUUGCUCCUCUGACGUUAGCGGCGGACGGGUGAGUAACACGUGGAUAACCUACCUAUAAGACUGGGAUAACUUCGGGAAACCGGAGCUAAUACCGGAUAACAUGUUGAACCGCAUGGUUUAACAGUGAAAGACGGUCUUGCUGUCACUUAUAGAUGGAUCCGCGCCGCAUUAGCUAGUUGGUAAGGUAACGGCUUACCAAGGCAACGAUGCGUAGCCGACCUGAGAGGGUGAUCGGCCACACUGGAACUGAGACACGGUCCAGACUCCUACGGGAGGCAGCAGUAGGGAAUCUUCCGCAAUGGGCGAAAGCCUGACGGAGCAACGCCGCGUGAGUGAAGAAGGUCUUCGGAUCGUAAAACUCUGUUAUUAGGGAAGAACAAAUGUGUAAGUAACUAUGCACGUCUUGACGGUACCUAAUCAGAAAGCCACGGCUAACUACGUG